rnacentral:rRNA from 1 species
GAAACUGCCGGUAAUACCGGAUAAUGUCCCCGGACCAAAGAUUUAUUGCCGGAGGAUGGGUCUGCGUCCUAUUAGCUUGUUGGUGGGGUAAAAGCCUACCAAGGCAAAGAUGGGUAGCGGGCGUGAGAGCGUGGCCCGUCUCACUGGGACUGAGACACUGCCCAGACACCUACGGGUGGCUGCAGUCGAGAAUCUUCCGCAAUGGGCGAAAGCCUGACGGAGCGACGCCGCGUGCGGGAUGAAGGCCUUCGGGUUGUAAACCGCUGUCAGUGGGGAGCAAAUUCAGUUUACUGAUUGAGCUAUCCGCAGAGGAAGCGCAGGCUAAGUUCGUGCCAGCAGCCGCGGUAACACGAACUGCGCGAACGUUAUUCGGAAUCAUUGGGCUUAAAGAGUUCGUAGGCGGCCUGAUAAGUUGGGCGUGAAAUCCCUCGGCUCAACCGAGGAACUGCGCCCAAUACUGUCAGGCUUGAGGGAGACAGAGGUGAGUGGAACUGAUGGUGGAGCGGUGAAAUGCGUUGAUAUCAUCAGGAACACCGGUGGCGAAAGCGGCUCAC